rnacentral:rRNA from 1 species
CCCUUAGAUGUCCGGGGCCGCACGCGCGCUACACUGAAGGAAUCAGCGUGGCUUUCUCCCUGACCCGAAAGGGUUGGGAAACCCGUUGAAUCUCCUUCGUGAUAGGGAUUGGGGCUUGAAAUUGUUCCCCAUGAACGAGGAAUUCCCAGUAAGCGCGAGUCAUAAGCUCGCGUUGAUUACGUCCCUGCCCUUUGUACACACCGCCCGUCGCUACUACCGAUUGAACGGUUUAGUGAGGGCCUCGGAUUGGUCUCGGCCCGCUCUUUACCGGGCGGCGCCGUUGGUCGAGAAGACGCUCGAACUUGAUCGUUUAGAUGAAGUAAAAGUCGUAACA